CAAGCCGCAGGUGGCGGCGAGCGCGGGGCUCGGCCCGAGCUCAGGAGAUGGGGAAACUGAGGCACGGAGCUGGACAGUGACUCAGACACCAGACAGGCACUGGACGGGGCCUGCAGGGGUCUCCACAGAGACCAUCAGGAUGUCGUAUUUUGGGGAGCAUUUUUGGGGCGAGAAAAAUCAUGGCUUUGAGGUCCUGUACCACAGCGUGAAGCAGGGGCCCAUCUCCACCAAGGAGCUGGCGGACUUCAUCCGGGAGAGGGCCACCAUCGAGGAGACCUACUCGAAGGCGAUGGCGAAACUCUCCAAGCUGGCCAGCAACGGGACCCCCAUGGGCAGGGCUCAGCGUGCAGCACAUACCUGAGCCAGUGCCAGCGCUGUCCCGGGGUGGGGUGAGCCUGAUGAACCCUGGGUGUGACCUUGCCCGCCCCCAGGACCUUCGCCCCGCUCUGGGAGGUCUU
rnacentral:sRNA from 1 species